CCUANGGGAGGCUGCAGUGGGGAAUCUUGCGCAAUGGGCGAAAGCCUGACGCAGCAACGCCGCGUGCGGGAUGAAGGCUCUCGGGUCGUAAACCGCUUUCAGCAGGGACGAAAAUGACUGUACCUGCAGAAGAAGCCCCGGCUAAAUACGUGCCAGCAGCCGCGGUAAUACGUAUGGGGCAAGCGUUAUCCGGAUUUAUUGGGCGUAAAGAGCGCGUAGGCGGUUUGUUAAGUCAGAUGUGAAAACUGGGGGCUCAACCCGCAGCCUGCAUCUGAAACUGGCAGACUUGAGUCUGGUAGAGGAAAGUGGAAUUCCCAGUGUAGCGGUGAAAUGCGCAGAUAUUGGGAGGAACACCAGAGGCGAAGGCGGCUUUCUGGGCCACGACUGACGCUGAGGCGCGAAAGCUAGGGGAGCAAACAGGAUUAGAUACCCCUNUANUC
rnacentral:rRNA from 1 species